rnacentral:rRNA from 1 species
AAUUUAUAUAAAAUAUUUUGAUGAAUUUUUAUAUAUUAUUAUCAUAAUUCAUAUUACUAUUUUUUUUAGAAUAUGAAAUUUUACGUUGAGAAUAUUAUAGUGCUUACAGCAGGCAUAUGCGUUGACUCCUCCAGCAUGGAAUAUUAUUGAAGAUUUUUAUCUUUCUUAUUGGUUCUAAGAUAAGAAUAAUGAUUAAUAGGGACAGUUGGGGGCAUUUGUAUUUAACAGUCGGAGGUGAAAUUCUUAGAUUUGUUAAUGACAGACUAAUGCGAAAGCAUUUGCCAAGGAUGUUUUCAUUAAUCAAGAACGAAAGUUAGGGGGUCGAAGACGAUCAGCUACCGCCGUAGUCUUAUCCAUCAUCUAUGCCAACUAGUGAUUGGAGGUUGUUCCU